rnacentral:misc_RNA from 1 species
GAUGAAGAACGUAGCGAAAUGCGAUACGUAGUGUGAAUUGCAGAAUUCAGUGAAUCAUCGAAUCUUUGAACGCACAUUGCGCCCAUUAGUAUUCUAGUGGGCAUGCCUGUUCGAGCGUCAUUAAGUCCACUUAAGCCCUGCUUAGUGUUGGGAGACUGCUCCAGCGGUGCUACCCUGUAGCUACCCUGCAGCUCCUCAAAGACAGCGGCGGAGUUGUGGUAUCCUCUGAGCUUAGUAACUUGUUCUAGCUUUCGAGUACACCACUUCCCCUGCCGUAAAACCCUUAAUUUUUAAUGGUUGACCUCGGAUCAGGUAGGAAUACCCGCUGAACUUAAGCAUAUCAAUAAGCGGAGGA